GACGAACGCUGGCGGCGUGCCUAAUACAUGCAAGUCGGGCGGACCGAACGAGGGCUUGCUCUUGUUUGGUCAGCGGCGGACGGGUGAGUAACACGUGGGCAACCUGCCUGCAAGACCGGGAUAACUCCGGGAAACCGGAGCUAAUACCGGAUAACACCUAAGACCGCAUGGUCUUCUGUUGAAAGGCGGCCUUUGUGCUGUCACUUGCGGAUGGGCCCGCGGCGGAUUAGCUAGUUGGUGAGGUAACUGCCCACCAAGGCGACGAUGCGUAGCCGACCGGGGAGGGUGACCGGCCACACGGGAACUGAGACACGGCCCAGACCCCGACGGGGGGCAGCGGUGGGGAAUCUUGCGAAAUGGGCGAAGGCCGGAGGGAGCAGCGCCGCGUGAGGGAGGAAGGUCUGCGGAUCGAAAAACUCUGUUAGGAGGGAAGAAGAAAGGUGUAAGAAACGAGGCACGUCUUGACGGUACCUAAGCAGAAAGCCACGGCUAACUACGUG
rnacentral:rRNA from 1 species